AAAGGAAAAUUUAAAAAUCAUGGAUUUUCUUAUAUAUGAAAUCAUAUUUUAAUAUUUAUUUAUGUUUAUUUUGUAUGAGUUCAGGAGAUGAAAAAUGGGAAGAAAGGGCAACCGAGUUGGGUUCGGACAAAAGUUAGAGUAGAAGAGCAUGUGAUUGUUCCUGAUAUAGACCCCGACAUUGAAAAUCCCUAUCAGUAUGUUGAAGACUAUAUCUCAAAUCUAACGACCGUUCCUAUGGAUUUAUCUAAACCAUUAUGGGAAAUUCACUUACUCUGCCUCAAAACAUCAAACGCUGAGUCCAUUGGCCUUCUGAAGAUCCAUCAUUCUUUGGGUGAUGGAAUGUCUCUCAUGUCUCUUUUCCUCGCUUGCACCCGUAAAACAUCAGACCCUGAGGCUUUGCCCACUGUCGCCGUCCAGAAAAAAACAGUUUGGACCGACCUGCUACAGUGGUUUCUUUAACAAGAUUUGGUGGUUAUUUGUAGGGCUUUGGUUCAUCCUAAGAUUGGUCUUCAAGACUUUUGUUGAUGUCUUAAUGUUUGCUCUAACAAUUUGUUUCUUGAGGGAUACGGAGACUCCUCUCUUAGCGAAACCCGGUUGUGAACUUAAACCUAAGAGGUUCGUCCACCGGAUUAUCAGUUUUGACGAUGUUAAGCUGGUGAAAAACGCAAUGAACAUGACGGUAAACGAUGUUCUUCCUGGCGUAACACAAGCCGGACUUUCUCGGUAUCUUAGUCGAAGAUAUGAUCAAGAAGCAACACCGAAAUUCAAAGAGUUGAUGAGGAGAAUCCGACUUCGUUCAGCAAUUAUGAUUAACGUGAGACCAAACGCAGGAAUUGAGGUAACAAAAUGUUUAAUCUUAAGUGUGUUUGAAAUCAAAUAUUUUUAAGCUGAUUGUGUGAUUUCAUUAUUGUUACGAUGAUGCAAAAUAGGCUCUAGCGGAUAUGAUGGCCAAGAAAUCGAAAUGCAGAUGGGGAAACCUCUUCGGUUACAUCCUCCUACCAUUCUCAAUCGGGCUGGAGACUGACCCUCUAGAAUACUUGCGCCGAGCUAAAGUCACCGUUGAUCGCAAAAAGCAUUCCCUUGAGGCUGUAUUCUCUAUGGCGUUCUUUAAGCUGAUACUAAAAGUUCUUGGGCUCAAGGCAAGUGUAGUUCUUGUAAGGAAAGUGAUCCAUAGCACAACAUUGACAUUCUCGAAUGUUGUCGGUCCAAAAGGAAGAAAUUACUUUUCACGGCCAUCCGUUGUCUUAUAUCGCCCCUAGUGUUUUUGGCCACCCACAUGCUCUUACUAUACAUUUCCAAAGUUAUGCAAACAAGGUCAUAAUAUCAGUAACAGCCGAUCCAAUAGUCAUUCCUAACCCUCACAAGAUGUGUGAUAAUUUGGUGGAGUCUCUCAAGUUAAUCAAAUCCUCUGUCUUAGAAAGAGGGUUAUAUGAGAUGGAGGUUUAAAGAAAGCUCUUCUAUUGUAUCAUUAUUAUAUCGUAUCAUCGGUUUCUUAUAUGUACUACCGUUCCUUCAUUGUUACUCUCAAUAUGUACUAAGUUACUAUGAUAGAGCAUCUAACAGUAAGAUAUCAAGUUUAUAUAAAGCAGAUUAUCCACUAUGGUCAAAGUAAGAAUUAAAUUACUUUAGUUUAGUUGGGUGUGGAUUACACAUAUGAAAUAAGAUUUGAAAAUAACUUCGAAGAAUUGACAUUGAAGGCUUUUUAAGAACAUCAUCUUUUUCCACAAAACAAAGACUAC